ensembl:misc_RNA Metazoa_SRP Metazoan signal recognition particle RNA
GCCAGGCAUGGUGGUGCAUGCCUGUAGUCCCAGCUACUUGGGAGGCUGAGGCAAGAGGAUCACUUGAGCCCAGGAGUUUGAGGCUGCGGUGGAGCUAUUAUUGUACCACUGCACUCCAGCCUGGGUGACAGAGGAAGACCCUGUCUCAU